rnacentral:rRNA from 1 species
CAGCCGUAAACUAUGCUCGCUAGGUGUCAGGCAUGGCGCGACCGUGUCUGGUGCCGCAGGGAAGCCGUGAAGCGAGCCACCUGGGAAGUACGGCCGCAAGGCUGGAAACUUAAAGGAAUUGGCGGGGGAGCACAACAACGGGUGGAGCCUGCGGUUUAAUUGGACUCAACGCCGGACAACUCACCGGGGACGACAGCAAUAUGUAGGCCAGGCUGAAGACCUUGCCUGAAUCGCUGAGAGGAGGUGCAUGGCGUAGACGUCU